GACGAACGCUGGCGGCGUGCCUAAUACAUGCAAGUCGAACGCAGUGGGGACGGGUGAGUAACACGUGGGUAACCUCCCAUCAGAGGGGAUAACACUUGGAAACAGGUGCUAAACCGAUACUGAUGGAUGGACCCGCGGUUCAUUAGCUAGUGGGUGAGGUAACGGCUCACCAAGGCCACGAUGCAUAGCCGACCUGGAAGGUGGAUCGGCCAGACGGGGACGGAGAGACAGCCCACAUGCCGACGGGAGGCAGCAGUAGGGAAUAGUCGGCAAUGGACGAAAGUCUGACCGAGCAACGCCGCGUGAGUGAAGAAGGUUUUCGGCUCGUAAAACUCUGUUGUUAGAGAAGCGGUAUCUAACCAGAAAGCCACGGCUAACUACGUGCCAGCAGCCGAGGUAAUUC
rnacentral:rRNA from 1 species